UGAUCUGUCAACCAGGAACUUCAGGCCACCUUCUCAGAUACCCCAUUCCCCAAAGUUUCAUGAAAACCAAGCCCGCAGGGCUCAAAGAUCCCUUCUUCCUUUGACAAAUUCGUUCAGCAAUUGCUGAGCAUCAACUACCCACCAUGCCCCGUGCUUGGCCCUGGGAAUACAGAGGUGAAGGAAGCCCCAGUUCCAAUCAUAGCUGGGUCUCCUGGUGGAUUCUUCUUUCCUUUAAAAGUUCUUGACUGACAGAGCACCAGGCCUCUCAUCACAAGGGCAGCUGCCCUGGGGACCCACUCUAUGAAUGAGAGGGGACCUAUGGUUACAUUUCCAAAACCUGCAGUCAAGAAAAGCUAGACCUCGCCAGGCACGGUGACAUACGCCUGUAAUCCCAGCAGCUCGGGAAGCUGAAGCAGGAGGAUCACAAGUUCAAAGCCAGCCUCAGUGACUUAGUGAGGCCCUAAGCAAUUUAGCAAGAUCCCCUCUCAAAAUAAGGACUGGGGAUGAGGCUCAGUGGUUAAGUGCUCCUGGGUUCAAUCUCUGGUAUCAAAAGAGACAGAGAAGGAGAAGAAAAGCUAGUCCUCACCAAAAGAUUGACUUUGGGAUGAGAACAAUGCCUUCAGUAAUGAUCCUGCCAGAAACCACCGCCAAUGCAUUAGCCCUCUCCCUGGAGGGAAACAGGAACCCGCCAGUGACAGUAAACAACUCACAUCAGGGAGGACAAAACCCAAAUCUAAUAGGAUGGGUUUCUUCUAAGACAACAGAAAUAAACACAGAUUUUCUUAUUAUGAAACUAAUACAUAAAUAGGCUGUUUUCAUGUAAACACAUAAAUUUUAAAAAUUGCUUUGCUUUAGAAUUUAGAAUACUAGUUAGGUGCCUCUGAGCACUUUUUAAUAUAUGUAAAUAAAUACAAAAAAUUUUUUACCAAAGU
rnacentral:lncRNA from 1 species